GACGAACGCUGGCGGCGCGCCUAACACAUGCAAGUCGAACGAGCGAGAGAGAGCUUGCUUUCUCGAGCGAGUGGCGAACGGGUGAGUAACGCGUGAGGAACCUGCCUCAAAGAGGGGGUCAACAGUUGGAAACGACUGCUAAUACCGCAUAAGCCCACGGCUCGGCAUCGAGCAGGGGGAAAAGGAGCAAUCCGCUUUGAGAUGGCCUCGCGUCCGAUUAGCUAGUUGGUGAGGUAACGGCCCACCAAGGCGACGAUCGGUAGCCGGACUGAGAGGUUGAACGGCCACAUUGGGACUGAGACACGGCCCAGACUCCUACGGGAGGCAGCAGUGGGGAAUAUUGCACAAUGGGGGAAACCCUGAUGCAGCGACGCCGCGUGGAGGAAGAAGGUCUUCGGAUUGUAAACUCCUGUUGUUGGGGAAGAUAAUGACGGUACCCAACAAGGAAGUGACGGCUAACUACGUG
rnacentral:rRNA from 1 species